GACGACAGCGUGGUCCACUAAUGGCAAAAGCAAUUAAUUUUAUUUUCUUAAAAAAACAAACAAUAUAUAGAAAUUUGGUAAAUAUAUAACAUAAAAAUAUAAAUUGAUUAAAAUUAAGUAUGUUUUAUUCUUAAUAACUUCCCUGGCACAUGGGAAGUGGCCUAUCUGAGGCCUACUCGAUUAUUUAGUUAGCAUUUAGGCACAAAGACGCAAAUUUAUGAUAGUCGGAUAAAUAUUGAAAUAAGAAGAUGAAAUUACCAAGAAGAAAAAAAAAAAAAAAAGACGCUUUCUUCAGUUUCACUGUGGAAAGACCGCGAAGUGAAGUAUACACAGCGUGGUUUCUGUGGAUGGCCCGCGUGUCUUCAGCAGCAGCAGAAUCCUCUGAGGAACUGGCCUGACUCAUCUGCGUCUGUGACAGAUUUUGAUGUGGGCCGAUCAUGGGUGCGCAUACACAAGAUGUUUAUGACCCGCUCCAGCUAAGCAAAGGUGGAUCUGGACUCAAAUCCUCAUUGCAGGUGAUUUAAAAACCUAAUUUUUUCCUUGAAUAAAAGACUGCUGUUGUUUCUGGAGCUUAUGAUGCAGGCAGACCGGGACACUUGCCCUCAGACCAAAGGAGACGUUGACCUAGAGGGAGAUCGGCAGCAAACUCGCAUGCUAAAGCGGCAUGAAAGUUACAGCCCUCAUAUGGGACAAACAGCAGAAAAGGGCUUCACACCAGGCAACACAUGCAAAAUUGACAAGAGGAUGUGGGGAAAAAAGGGGUUGGACAAGGAUGAAUAAAACAAAUCAUGGUGCUUGACUGGAGGUGAUUUGAAAAAUUCUUUGUCUUCAUUUACGCUUGAGAAUAAUAUAACGUCCCGACAGGAGACCGGGCUAGCGAGGGGCUCCAGUCGCACGCAGGGGAUAAAAAAUUAAUUAAAAGAUGAGAGAAAGAAGAAAGGAUGGAUUGAAAAUAAAUACAGACUGCAAUGCCAAACAGUAGGGUCGUUGUUUCAUUGCGAACGCGGUGAGCCCACUGUAAAAAAUGGAUCAUACCCUGCCUCAGAGAAUUAAACUUAGUUUUUGGGAGUGUUUGUAUUUCUAGAGAAACUUUGUCAGGGGAGAUGAAAGCCACAUCUGCUCCACUUCUUUCCAACUAUACAUACGUGUGAAAACUGUUGGUCUGGCAGGCUAGUAUGGACAAGCAGACCCACCGCCUUGAUGAGAGACAAUGGGCCUGGGCUUAAGCCUAUUAACAGUUGGCAAUGUGGGGCCUUUACCCAGGGCGCUGAGCGGCCCCCACGCCACACCUCGACUGCCUGUUAGAUGAAGCCGUCGCUGGACUGCUGCCGCUCUAAACUGUGAGGUGAUGCUUUCGUGAGCUGAUUCAUUUCCACCCUUCGCUAAGUGGACAGGGGUUUAACUGGAAACACAUUACCUGUCAUGGAAAAGUGUUUUCACGUGCUGUGACACACCGCAGACAUGGUCAGACAGGCAGUGGGGUGUUUGGGGUGUACACUGUGGACAUGUACACUGUGCUGAUAGACCCUGGGUGCUUGCUUUCUGCCUGAUAAGGCAGUUUACACUGAACUUGUGUGGGCUGAGCUGGACGCCGCUUGCGGCGUUACAUUUGUUUGUGUGGUGUACUGAUAUUAUACGACUAUGUAUAUGAAUGCAUUGCAAGUUUAGAAAUGGUAGAUUAGAAGCACCAAAUGAAUUGUUCACUGUUGUAGAUAUGCAGCAUUAGCAUAGUUAGCAUGGGUCAUGUCUGUUAGAAAUUUAACAGAAACAGUAGGCUAAAACUUUUUUUUUUUUACAAGUUUAAAAAUGACUUUUUAAAGUUAGUGAUGUAUGAAACCACGUAUUUGUAAAAUUAAUUAUUAUGUAUUAUUCUUUGACAGAUUGAAGCUGAAUAUAGGGGUAUCAAAACAACUAAAAUUGAGGUAUUUUUAACUUUACAUGCUACAUGCAUACAACAUGAUGCAGUGGUCAAAUAUGGAUAUGCAGGAGUGUAAAUUACUUAUAACUGUACUUCAUUACUAUACUUCUGUAUUAUUUGAAACUGAGUACUUUGUGCUUUUAAUGUCUAAAUGACACUGUAAGGAGUAAAAAGUAUAAAGUACAUAUUUCACAGGUCAUCAUUUAUGAUGUUUGUUUUAUAUUUUUAUAUUCCAGACCUGUACCUAGUCAGGAAAUUGUGAUGAAACCGGUUACUUCAGGAAUUGUGGAUCCAAGUCUCUUGAUUAAUUUUUUUUUAAUUUACACUUAUUUUUGGUUACAUAAAGUACAGUUACUCUGUAUUUUACACUCAUGUACAUGCAUACGUAGACCAAUAUUUAAAAAUUGUACACUGUUCGAAAUGCGCAAGCUAAAUAACUAUAAUCUUUUAGCGCACAAACAUUCAUAGUAAGUCUUUUUUUGUAAUUAAACGUGGUGUAUUUGUUACAAAAGACUGUGAUUGCAAUACUUCAAGACUUGCAUGCAAAUUUGCAUCUAUUUAUGUGUUCUUUUUAAAGCACCAUGGCUAAAGAUAGACCUCUAAAUAAAUUAACUGAUGCCAGUAUUAUCCGGUUGUUGGAUA